UUUUCGGAGAGUUUGAUCCUGGCUCAGGAUCAACGCUGGCGGCGUGCAUGAGACAUGCAAGUCGAACGGACGAUCGGGGCUUGCCUUGAUCGUUAGUGGCGGACGGCUGAGUAACGCGUAGGUGACCUGCCCCGAAGUGGGGAAUAACUGCCCGAA
rnacentral:ncRNA from 1 species